ACCAGCCAAGUAGCGUGAAGGAUGAAGGCCCUAUGGGUCGUAAACUUCUUUUAUAGGGGAAUAAAGUGAGGGACGUGUCCCUUUUUGUAUGUACCCUAUGAAUAAGGAUCGGCUAACUCCGUGCCAGCAGCCGCGGUAAU
rnacentral:rRNA from 1 species